AAAAAAUUAGCCAGGCGUGAUGGUGCAUGCCUGUAAUCCCAGCUACUCGGGAGGCUGAAGCAGGAGAAUCGCUUGAACCUGGGAGGUGGAGGUUCCAGUGAGUGAAGAUCGUGCCACUGCACUCCAGCCUGGGCGCCAGAGCGAGACCCUGCCUUAAAAAAAACAACAAAAAAAAUCAGAUGCCUGGGGUCCUACCUCCAGGUGCCAGGACCAACAGUGGGCCUAGUCAUCAGAUUAAAAAAAAGAAAAUAUUUAAUAAAUAGAGGUGGGGCAUGGUGGCUCAUGCCUGUAAUCCCAACACUUUGGGAGGCCAAGGCAGGUGGAUCACUGGAGACUAAGAAUUCAAGACCAGCCUGGCCAACAUGGUGAAACCUUGUCUCUACUAAAAGUACAAAAACUAGCUGGGUGUGGUGGUGCAUGCCUGUAAUUUCAGCUACUUGGGAGGCUGGGGCAGGAGAAUUGCUUGAACCUGGGAGGCGGAGGUUGCAGUGAGAAGAGAUCAGGCCACUACACUCCAGCCUGGGCGACAGAGUGAGAGUCCAUAAAUUAAUAAACAAACAAAUUAAUUAAUUAAAAAAUAGAGACGGGGGGAGGUGUCUUGCUAUGUUGUCCAGGCUUGUCUUGAACCCCAGCCUCAAGCAAAUCAGCCUCCCAAAGUGCUGGGAUUAAAGGCAGGAGCCAUGGAGCACCUGGCCCAAGUGUUUAAUGAGCUUCUGGGCACUUCUGAUACCAGGUGCCCUCAGACCGCACUUUGAAAACUCCUCAAGGAGGCCUCUCAAUCACCUGAUCACCAAACCCUGUGUGAGGCUCCCUACCCACCUGGACCCUCUCCUUGAAUUCCUCUCCUUUCCAAUUAUUACCCUUCCCUAGAUAGCAAGUGGUGACAGAACCAAACCCUAGCUCAGCCAAAGCCCAAAUUGCCUCAUCUCCCUUCAGGGAAUAGGCAAAAAAAAAAAAAAAAAAAAAAAAAAAAGAUCACAGAGUUCAGCUGAAACCACUUAGGAAAUAUCAGCAUCCCCACCUCCCCACCCAAAAGGACUCCUGAGUGGCAGCCUGAGAGGUGUGUCUGCUCAUCAGAAUAAUGUUGUCAGACUGUGUUCUUUCUGGGGGAUCAUCACACUCCCUUUUCUGGGAACAAAUGUUGGCCACUUGGUGGGAUGGGCCAUCAUGAUCUACGUCAGACAAAUUCAGUGAGUCAUGACUCAGCCUAUCUCUCUAGACCCAUCUUUUAUGCCCCCUUACUUAUAGUCUCUCUGAGGGCUGUUCUCAACUAUUCUAUUUCUCUCCUUUCCGGCACAUGAUGGGGAUUACAUUUUCUUGCUUCCUUUGAAAUGAGAUGUGACCAUGUUACUUGUUUCAGGUAACGAGAUGUGAGCAGAAACAACCUGUGUCACACCUGGGCAGAAGCUUUAAAGGCCAGUGCUGCCCUUGUUGGGGAAGCAAGUAUAGAUAUGAAUCGUUCCACAACGCGGAGCGCCCCCUGCCGACCCAUGCUGGGCGUGUACUAUAGAUGAGGAGACUGAGGAUCAGAGAGAUAAAGUCACCUGUCCAAGGUCAUACUGUGGAUGUAGCUCUAACCCAAGCCCUCCCGACUGCAGCACAAAUUCUCAGCCACUACCCUAUUAGCCCCUUCAUUUGAAGGUGUCUUCAUCAUUGCCAAGAUUCCUUUUCCUCCCGGCCCCCUAAGUCUUCAGGAUUCCCUCAUCUCAUCUCCCCAGAGAAGCCAUGACACCAUCUUCUCCAAAAACAAAGUCAGCGCUUUCACUGUAGAUGGACCUGUGUUCUUCCCCCAAACUCAGUCCACCUCAUCUCCAGAAAAACUAUAUGACUUGCCCUGGAGAAGAGGGGGAAAAAAAAACCUCUUCC
rnacentral:lncRNA from 1 species